GAUGAACGCUGGCGGCGUGCCUAAUACAUGCAAGUAGAACGCUGAAGGAGGAGCUUGCUCUUCUGGAUGAGUUGCGAACGGGUGAGUAACGCGUAGGUAACCUGCCUGGUAGCGGGGGAUAACUAUUGGAAACGAUAGCUAAUACCGCAUGACAACAGUUAUUGCAUGAUAACUGUUUAAAAGGGGCAACUGCUCCACUACCAGAUGGACCUGCGUUGUAUUAGCUAGUUGGUGAGGUAACGGCUCACCAAGGCGACGAUACAUAGCCGACCUGAGAGGGGUAUCGGCCACACUUGGACUUAGACACGGCCCAGACUCCUACGGGAGGCAGCAGUAGGGAAUCUUCGGCAAUGGACGGAAGUCUGACCGAGCAACGCCGCGUGAGUGAAGAAGGUUUUCGGAUCGUAAAGCUCUGUUGUAAGAGAAGAACGAGUGUGAGAGUGGAAAGUUCACACUGUGACGGUAUCUUACCAGAAAGGGACGGCUAACUACGUG
rnacentral:rRNA from 1 species